CCAAAAUUUUGCGAUCGAACAUCCAAUCAUGCAUGCAUGAUAUUAGCAGAAAGAAAUUGUAAGAAUAUGUAUUUGGUAGUCAAAAUAGAUUAUAUGCAGUAAAUAAUAGUACAUCAAAGGAUUUUCAAUUUUCAAAAGCGUAGGCAUACAUGGUAUCGUACCAAUCUUUCCUGAUAUCCAUCUUGCCGAUUUAUCGCAAAUGUACCUAAACGUAUAUCAUGUGCAGAGUUUUAAGUCUCAAAUUUCGUUCACAAAUGAGCUUGCUUUCUUAAGUUUUGAACAGUAAAGUAUUGAAAAUGUAUGCAGGUCAAAUUAAUUUUGUGAAAUAGCUGAAAAAGAAGUUUUAUAAUUCUACUUUUGAGCGAUUGAAUACAGUUUAAUGUAAGGCCUGAUUGAAACCCAAUCCAACGCCAAAUCUGAGGCGUAAUCUGAAGCCUUAAACUGCGGCUAACCUCAAGGUAGUAAUAAAAUUGUCAUUGGAAUUUUUGAUCGACAAAUAUAAAUACACCAGAAUGUUGUUAUAAAAUAGACGAAUUUUAAUACAUUUUGGUUGGUUUGAGAUGCGGAAUACGAAACAAACGUGUCAAUGCACCGCAUACUUACGCGCCGAAUACCGCUUCACUUUAGGAAGCAUGUGCAUUGAGACAUGGAAUGAUAUCAAUUGAACGCUUGUUGAUUUCGUGUUUAGCGGCUUUAGCCUAUCGAUCUUGUUGUUAUUCCCCCAGCGGCGGUUUCAUUUAAUGGUAAUAACUUCGUCGGGACUUGGGCCAACGUAUUCCUUUGUCCACCAGAAGAGUAAAAGCGCUUGUCCGGUAGAGUUCUAUUUGAAUAAACUGCGUCUCACUGAAUUAUCAUACUGAGUUACUGACCAAAUUUUCUUUAAUAUAACCAUGAUAUGUCAAUUCCAGCGUUCAUAAACUCUUUUCUGUCACAUUGUCUCAGUUCAUUCGAUGUCCGUAAUUCUUUACAGCUCCGCACCAAGUCAAAUUUUCAAAUUUUCUUUCUCGGUAACAAGACAUUGCUCUUUGUUGGGAUAUUUGUCAAAGUGAACUCCCUUAUCACAUUGACCUUUGUUCUGCGUGUUCGUUGUUGACAUAUGAUUGGUCAGUUGAUCUUUCAUUCGGUUUUACACAUGCCCAGAGAAACAUUUGAACUUUGGACUAUUGGAUAUCGCCUUUUUGUGGCUGUUGACAAGCUUAUCCUGUUACUAUGAGAUUAUAACCAGGUUUGAAGGUGACAAACGUGUUGUCUCAUUAACUUGAAUUUAUAUAUUGUUAUAUAUAAAUUUGCUUUAAU
rnacentral:lncRNA from 1 species